AAUCUUGAAAAAUUUAAAAUAGUUUUUUCUUUCUUCUCUGUAUCUCUCCUCCUUCUCUAUUUCCCCUUCUUCUAGGGCCCUCCCUCUCUUCCCUGGGGAUUUGUGUAUUCCUUCUGCUUUUUGUUUUCCUUUUAUUUGUGUCUUCCAAAAAUCCUCAUCCCUGGGAGAUCUAUUCAGGUGUUCAAACCUAUUCCUAGUGUAAAUUUCAUUUCUUCUAUUCCCAUUUUCUCUCUCUUGCCCUCUCUGUGUAGGGCAAGCAUGUCAAACUCAAAGUCUGGAUCAGGC